ACCUCUUUCCCAGUGAGAAGAUGUUGAGUCAAAAACUUCUCUGCCCACCUAAGCCCAGGACUCUUGGGAGAGGACGUUCCUGCAGCUCUGACUAAGCCUCCCRGCGCGACCUGCUUACCGGGGAUGCUCCCAGCCUGCGGCACAAGCGGGAAGUCAGAUGAGGCUGCGGGGUUUCACUCCUAUGAGAACUCGCAACAAGUAGAAGCUGAGAUCCUACAGCCACAAGCCUCUGGAAGCUGGGUCUCUGAGAAACCGUUGCUUAAAUGUGGCAGAGGACAAAAAUCACCAAAGGUGGUCUCCUUCUCCCUCUCACCUUCUUUCCCACUGCAUCCAGCCCUCUGUCACCCAGCCAGGAUCAUAACUGAACUAUGUAAUUGAGUGUAUAGUAUUCCACAAGUCCUCCAGCCCCAUCUUGUUCAGAUUUUCUGCUCCAUCAGCAGCACAAAGAGCAGCUGACAUUUAACAAGCUCCGAGCACACAAGGCUCAGGUAGGUCUGAAGGAUUUUCUUGACUUCUUUGCUGGUGGCUAAUGCACAAAUGCAAGGUGAGGAGAGCAUCCCCAGCUAUUCACUGGGGAGGGAUCAUUACAGUGAGGAUCUUCUCUUCUACAGUUACCAAAA
rnacentral:lncRNA from 1 species